rnacentral:rRNA from 1 species
GGCGUACGGCUCAUUAACACGUAGUCAACCUGCCCUAGAGACACGGACAACCCCGGGAAACUGGGAUUAAUCCGUGAUAGGUCAUCUCACCUGGAAGGAGAGAUGGCUUAAAGGGAUGCGAGAGCUUCUUUCUUGUAUCCGCUCUAGGAUGGGACUGCGGCCGAUCAGGCUGUUGGUGGGGUAAUGGCCCACCAAACCUGUAACCGGUACGGGCCUUGAGAGAGGGGGCCCGGAGAUGGACACUGAGAGAAAGGGUCCAGGUCCUACGGGGCGCAGCAGGCGCGAAACCUUCGCAAUGCGCGAAAGGCGUGACGAGGUUAAUCCGAGUGGUCCCCGCUGAGGGGACUUUUGCCAGCUGUAAAAGGCGCCGGUGAGAAUAAGGGGAGGGCAAGUCUGGUGUCAGCCGCCGCGGUAAUACCAGCUCCUCGAGUGGUCGGGGCGAUUAUUGGGCCUAAAGCAUCCGUAGCCUGUUCUGUAGGUCCUCUGUCAAAUCCAACGGCUUAACCGUUGGCCCGCAGAGGAUACCGCAGGACUAGGAGGCGGGAGAGGUGGACGGUACUCCACGUGUAGGGGUAAAAUCCUUUGAUCCGUGGAAGA